AACGAACGCUGGCGGCAGGCUUAACACAUGCAAGUCGAGCGCCCCGCAAGGGGAGCGGCAGACGGGUGAGUAACACGUGGGAAUCUACCCAUCCCUACGGAACAACUCCGGGAAACUGGAGCUAAUACCGUAUACGCCCUUUGGUGGAAAGAUUUAUCGGGGAUGGAUGAGCCCGCGUGGGAUUAGCUAGUUGGUGGGGUAAAGGCCUACCAAGGCGACGAUCCAUAGCUGGUCUGAGAGGAUGAUCAGCCACAUUGGGACUGAGACACGGCCCAAACUCCUACGGGAGGCAGCAGUGGGGAAUAUUGGACAAUGGGCGCAAGCCUGAUCCAGCCAUGCCGCGUGAAUGAUGAAGGCCUUAGGGUUGUAAAGUUCUUUCACCGAUGAAGAUAAUGACGGUAGUCGGAGAAGAAGCCCCGGCUAACUUCGUGCCAGCAGCCGCCGUAA
rnacentral:rRNA from 1 species